AAAUAUCUUUUUUUUUGAAUUUUUGAUUUAUAAUACAUUUUUCAAAUACAAAAUAGGAAAUAAUAAUAAAAGACUCGACAAACUUAACUAGACUAUGACACACUCUAGCAUCAACUAAAUGACUGAAUACUACUGUAUAGGACUACAAAGUAAAACAUGAACAAUAGACUCAAAAAUAAUAAAAAGGCUCCUCAGGCAGCUCCCGAACGCAGUGGUCCUGGGGUAUCUGUCAUGCUCAAACUCCGGUAAGUAGAUCCACACCUGUAUGAGAAAACUGAAACCAACACUAUGUGAGACAAUAACAUUCCUUACUAGACGCAUGCAAAACAUGGUUGAGACUAUUUUUGCAAAAUGGCUUAUGUGGCCAAAAAGGUGGCUAGAAGUACAAAAUUUGGCUAAGACCCCGCAAAGCCAAGAACCUAAGAUUUACUAGGAAGACUGGACCCUAUGUGGGCUGCCUAUGUAUCACGCCCUGAAGACGAGAACCAGGUAUGCGUAGUUCGGGCAAAUUGGAUACGGGCAAGAAUUAAAAGUGCAAAUUUUUUUUCUUCUUUCUUUUUUCAUGUUUUUUUCUUUUUCUUAACAAAAAUGUGAAAGAAAACAUAACUGGGCCCUACUUGCUUUAUUUUCACACUUCACCCUUUUUUCUUUUUUUCUUUUUUUAUUUGAUCUCAACUAUCAUUGGUCUGCCAAAUUACCCUUUUACCCUUGAAGAUUGUAACAUGUAGCACAUAGGAUGCAUCAGGAUGGUCUUUUAUUUUUUGGUACACCUGUCCUAGACGGACCCAACCUCUGUGUUGUGUCCCCAAAGUCAAAUGCACAUGAUGCAAACAAACGUGCCUACUAGGGAUCCAGCAUGAGGUUAUGUUAUUCUAAGUUUAAAUCUUGGGGUUGUGUUCUAGACCUAGCUUAUCCGAAUAGACAACUCGAGCCGAAGAGGGGGCAACGUACCGGGAGCACUGAAGUCUACCCGGCCUAGUAGCUGGCCUAACCCCGUUCUUAUUUGGUAUAACUUCUAUAGAAAAAGCGGGCCACGUGACCGUGGGCACCAUUUUUAGAAGACUUAGAAGGGUGGCGUAAAAAGACUGUUAUAUACAAUUCAAACAAUAUUAAAGCGGUAAACAGAUAGCAUUUAGCACAAAAGGUUCAUAGAAUACAGUAAUAUUAACAAUGAAUGAAGCCAAGUAAAAAUCACAAUAACAAGCUCGAAUUCUUGAACCCUGAACCAGAAUUUUCGGGUUCUUGUCCCCAGUAGAGUCGCCAGAGCUGUCACACCUCCUUUUUACUACCCCAGGAAGGGUAUAAGGGAAUUUUUUUCAAUUUAAGUGACAAUCGAAACGGGAUUAUUUAUUAAAUUUAGAGUCGCCACUUGGGAUAAUUUAUGGUGUCCCAAGUCAUCGGUUUAAAAUCCCGAAUCAAGGAAAAUUGACUCUUAUUUAUGGUCUACGAACAAAAAAAUCAGGAUAAGGAAUUUUGUUAACUCGGUAGAAGGUGUUAGGCAUUCCCGGGCUCCGUGGUUCUAGCAUGGUCGCUUUGAUCAUACUUGGCUUAAUCAAAUUGUCUAAUUACCCUUUUAGAACCUAUGUGCUUUCACCUAUUUUAAUUAAGAAAUUAUCCUAAAACAAUGUGUCACACGUACGUGUACCCAUUUGUUUGGCGCGUCAAAAAUCAUGUCACGCGAACGUGUCUACAAUUAAUAACGCUUUAUUAUUAUUAAGAAUGUUUAGUCGAAGUUGCGUGAACGCAUACUCCGAUUUUGUUUUUUAGAAAAAUAUCAUAAUUAUGUUACGCGAACGUAUACAUAAUCACAAUAAUAAACUAAGUCGCACCUAAACCAAGCUACGAAUAUUUAUUUUAGAAAACGUAAUCAUGUCACGCGAACGUGUACAUAAUCACGCUAAUAAAUUCAAAAUGCGCCUAAAGGUUCGCCUACCCAGUGCGAUCGGCCUAAGCAUGCUACUAGCGAACAACGUAGUGAAGCAACUUUUAUUUUUAAUUCUCGAACCCCAUGCCUAGGCCUUUUCAAACACCUAAGCAAACCAAAUAAGAAAUUUUGCUGACUUAAUUCCUUUGCCAUCACAAAAUUGAUUAUGAGGCUUUAGACAUCUCUUAACGAAGCAACGGAUCAAGGAAACCAAAACUCACUUUAGCCGUGAAAAUGUAUCCAAGCAGAUUAAACCAAACAUACGAACGAUAGUCAGCAAAACCAAUUUGGAUAUACCAAAUACUAUUAGGACAAUCCAGAACAAAGAAAUAAAACAUGAAACUUAGAUUAUCAUUAAAUUGAAGAAAAUAAACUAACUAAUCCAAACAAGAAAAUUAGCCAAAUGGUUCAUUAAACAUGAAUAAUAGUACUUCUGAAUAUGACAACAAAGGCAAAAAACUGACCAAAGGUACAUACCAGCCCGACGACAACAAGCAGAACCAGCACCGGAGACCUCAAACGGAACCGGAACUGUUAAACAGAACCUUCCCCGGCGAGCAACGACAAAAAGCCUUGACGUACACCUUUUUAUGGUUUACGAAAACUAGCAAAAAACUCAAAGGGUUGUCGAAGCAUACAAGUCUGGUCCGAUCUGGUUUCGUCCUAGGUCAAGGCUGGGCGUUGGAAUGGUUUUUGUGGGUGGUGUGGAGUGAUGGCCGGCAGGCAAAGGGGUGACCAGUGACUCUAAGAUGAUUAGAUUCUUAGGUUGAAGAAGAUGUGAUCAUGUUCUCUUCGUUCGUCUCUGUUGAUGGUUGAAAAAAGAUGAAGCCGUGGCUGAAGUCUCUUGGGCGUUCUAGGUCUGAAGCUCGCCAGAGAUGGUAGAUUUUGAGAGGAGUGAGUGGGGAGGGGCUGGAAUGGGGUCGUUUAUUUGGCAGAUGGCAGGGAGUUUUGGGGUGGUCGUUGGUUGUGUGUCUGUGUGUUGUUGGAGCAGAAAGGGCAGGUUCCGAUGGGGGAGGGGGGUCACGAAGAAGAAGACGUGAGAGGGGGGGUCGUCUAUUGUGUAUUCAGUUAUGCGGCUGAUUUCUCUUCCUCAUUUUUGUGUUUUUUUCGCUAAUUUUUGGAUAUGGAGUAGCCAAGAAGAUGAAAGAGUCAGGGGGGAGUCCUUAUUUUGGAGAAAACGAUGGAUCGCUCUUAGGUCCUAGG
rnacentral:lncRNA from 1 species